UACAGAGGUCUCAAGCGUUGUUCGGAUUCAUUGGGCGUAAAGGGCGCGUAGGCGGCUUGGCAAGUGGAAGGUGAAAUCCCUCGGCUUAACCGAGGAACUGCCCUCCAAACUGCUUCGCUUGAGACCGGGAGAGGUGAGUGGAAUUCCCAGUGUAGCGGUGAAAUGCGUAGAUAUUGGGAGGAACACCAGUGGCGAAGGCGGCUCACUGGACCGGUACUGACGCUGAAGCGCGAAAGCGUGGGGAGCAAACGGG
rnacentral:rRNA from 1 species